CGCUGCCCGGGCCGGUUUGAAACUGCCGCGGUUCUCCCGGCUCCGCCCGCUCCCGGCCCGCUCCGCCGCCGUGAGCUUCCUGCUGCUGCGGGGGUCUGCACUCCUGCUGCUGUUGCUCGGGUGUUCCCCCUUGGACAGCUAACCUGAGCAUCCCCAGCUCGCCCCCGGCCGUACCUCGGCCGCCGCUGCUGCCGCCUCGCCGACAGUGCCUUACAACCCCCUGCGUUGUUAGGAAGAAGAUGAGAUAAAGCCACUCAGAUGGAGGCCAGUCCCACCAGCCUCAAGAGGCUUAAAUUUGGGAAGCUGAAGGUGGUCCGUCGGCACCUGCUGCAGAGGUAUGAGCACCAGCCCUUCAUCUCCUGCCUGGCUGGUUUCUACAGCUGCCGGUGGAAGCGGUACCAGCGCGAAAGGACUGAGCCUGGGAAAUGCUGCUGCAACAUGCGGGAAUGCAUGUUUUUCCCAUUGCUCGUUGCAGCUUUCUGCUUUUCUCUGGUCUUUCUGUACACGUGGGGUGAAGGUAAAAAUGACUACAACAGCUUUGACUGGUAUAACUAUGGGAACCUGGGCUUCUGGUUUCUCUGGUCUCUUGUUAUCCUGAUUGUGGCUGCAGUCCUGUUCGCAUACAUCUCACUGUUACUGGUCCUUGCGAUGUGUUUGCUUGCAGAAGGUCAGCAGCUGUACCUGCACUGGAGUCACAAGAUUGGUACUUUUCUUGUCCUGGGCUUCUCUAUCUCAUCCCUCUUUGCAUUAUCUAUACUCUGGCGAGAUCACCGGAAAACUGUCCGCCUGUCAUUCCAGGUCACAGCUCCUUAUCUCCACAUAGGGGCAAUUGCCAUCAUGGUACUUCUUUCCUGGCCUGUGGCUCUUCAUGCCAUCAGAGCAGAUAAAAAAGUUACUCAGGUGAUAAUUGUUGGUCCAUACCUGGCUAUCCUUCUCUUUCUUUUCUUGAUACCUCUGGGGAUGUACUCUCCUUGCAUCAGAGAGAUAGGAACACUCGGACCAAAGCCAGCCCUCAUUGGACACCGUGGAGCACCAAUGUUGGCGCCAGAAAACACUGAGAUGUCAUUUCUGAAGACAAUUGAGCAUGGUGGGGAUGGGCUUGAAACAGAUGUCACCAUAAGCUAUGAUGGGGUUCCUUUCCUCAUGCAUGAUGACACCUUGAGAAGGACAACUAACAUCGAAGAGGUCUACCCUAAUGACACUGGUAAAACUGCUUCGUUUUUCUCCUGGGAUGCCCUGCAGAAGUUGAAUGCUGGAACGUGGUUCCUUAAGAACAAACCAUUUGUAGGGAUGGGCUCCCUGUCAAAGGCAGAUCAAACCCAGGCAAUGAAUCAGUCCAUUUACACGCUAAGUAGUUUUUUGCGCCUCGCAGACAGUCACAAUAAACUUGUGAUAUUUGAUCUCUACCGCCCUCCAGAGAAACAUCCUUACAGGAACUUGUGGCUCCGCAAAGUCCUGGAUGUCAUCCUCAAAGAGUCGAAGAUUAAACGCCAUCUGGUCCUGUGGCUGCAUAACAGUGUGAGGUCCUUUGUUCAAUCUGUUGCUCCAGGAUUUCAGCACACGAUGGGCAGAAAGGCACCAAUAAAAGACCUGUUAAAGCACAAUAUCGUCAAACUCAAUCUGGUCUACACUGACAUGUCUAGUGAAGAUAUCCGGAAAUAUGCUGAGGCAAACAUCACCACCAACUUCUAUGUGGUCAACGAGCCAUGGCUCUAUUCCCUGGCAUGGUGCUCUGGGGCACACUCUGUGACCACCAAUGCUGUCCACUUGCUGAAGGAUCUCAGCCAGCCCCUCUUCCUCAUGACUCCACAGCAGUACAACAUCAUGUGGAUCCUGACAGAUCUGACCUCUGCAUUCCUCAUCUCGCUCAUCUUUGCUCUGCACUGGUGGCGAGAGAAGAACUUCUCCUGCUGUGUCCAGGACAGUAACCCGAUGAUAGAGAGUGGUGGCACCUACAACAAAUUCAAGACAGAGCUCAGUGAUAUGCCUGCUGUCCUGGCCUGACAUGGGCAUAGAGAGGACAUGGCCCUGCCAUCUCAAUGCGGCCAGGGAGACCAGCUGGUGGGGGCUCAGAUCUACCUGGUGAGGAGGAGCCAUUUGCCUUUGUGGCCCUACUGGAGAUGAGCAUCAACCUUCCUCUCCUCUCCUUCUCACAUUCCCAUGCCUGUCAGCGAUCCUUGCGGCACAGGAGAGCGCAGAUGGAGUUGCAGCCAUGAAGAAACUGUGCAUUAUGCUAACUGUGAAGGAGAAAGAAUACAGUAGUCUUUACCUGAUCCAGACUACAGACAUUUCUUAUACAUGAGCCUUUUGUUAAAUGAAGUGAUUACAAGUGAGACGGCAGCAUUAAGUUUUAGAGUUAUCUGUGCCGAGAAGCACCCAAACCUUUCCAAGUUGCAACUCUGGAGUAUUCUGGAAGCUAGAAAUGUGAAAAAUGAAGAUCCUCCUUUGGAAAAAGGCUAAAGGGCUGAUGAAAUAUUGUAGAGCUGGUCUAAGAAGUAUGGGGAGUGGAUGGUGUUAAAUCCCCCUCCCGUGCCUUGCAUACAUAGGUGGUUCAUAACUUUUCAUGGGUACCACUCACAUAGGGAAUGUGAACAACAACAGUAGGAGGUGGGGAGUGUGUGGGUUAUGUGUGGUGUGCACCAUGGGCUCCUCAGCCUCUGCCUUGGUGCUCAAGUGAGGGACUUGGCUGUGGUUCCCCAACUGCUACCUGUAAUAUACAUUGUGAAAAGCCACCUCAAUGCUCUUUGAUCCAUGUUAUUUAGCUGAUGGUUGGCCAGUAUGCACUGGUAACUCCCUGUACUCACCCUUCUUAUCCUCAGAAGCCUUGCCUAGGGAGAGCCUGGCCAGUUAGACCUGUGGUUUCCUUUAAUGUCUUACGCUCUGUCACAUCUCAGCUACUAUUUUAAUUGCUUCUCAGCUAGCAAGGUCUGGCAACCUUGUUAAGCACGACUGGUUGUCUGACUCCCACACAGACUUUUCACUCAACAUCUACAUGCAGUGAUUAAGCUCAGAACUGACUGGAAGAUCCAGCCCUUAUCAUAGAGGACAAGCAGUGGAGACUCCCAGACUUCAGUGGUUUUUUUACCCCAAAAGAAAAGAUUUCAAUUAAUUUCCAGUCUGUGUACACUGAUAGUUUACUCCCCCUUGCUGGAUGCUGUCAUCAGGAGUUGCACAGUGCAAGAAGUCUUAUCCACAGCGAGAACCCAGGAGCCCUGAUCCCACCCUUCCUCCUGGAGAUAUCACCACGACUGCACAGUGCAGAACAGCCUCCCGCAAGUUACUUGAUGCUUUUUAAUUGGAGUAUUUCACUUGGACAUAUGUUUUUUUCAUGUUACAUCGCUUGGUGUGUAUACAAAGAGGCCAGCAGAUGCUAAUACGUAAGACACACAGGCGCACACACACACAGAGUCCCAGUCCCACCCAAAAUUAUGGGGUGCAUGGGAUGCCAACAGAGCUGUAAGUGGAGGGAUGAGGGUGGUGGCAGGAGAAAGAUGACCCACAAUAGCUCUGGAAAACACUGCUGUGCUGCAUCGUCUGCUGAGUGUGCAAUGGGUGGCAGGGAUGGCUGGAGUCUCAGAAAAAGCAGUAAUGGUGUGGUGAUGAUAGGCAUGUGUCUAAGGACAGGUGGGAUCCCUGGGACAGCUGGAUCAUGGCAGCAGGGGAAUGGAGAGAAAUGUCAGAGAUGGAUGGUGAGAAGGCAGCUGGGCACCUAAUGUAGCCUUGGUGUAACCAUGCUCCCAUCACCAGAGUGCGUUGGGUAGGGGAUGAUGGAGGAAGGUGAUCUCCUACCAGCCCUGUCUGGCUGGUGGAUGUCUCCGUGCAGCAUCUCAUUUGCUUUGAUGGAGCAACCAAAGUCGUGUGACUGCUGCAUCCCACUUGAAUGUCACAGUCCUCGAGAUCUGGUAAGCAGCGCUGCCAAUUCUGCCUGGCACACCAUGUAUUGGAGACCUGAGCUCAGCUGAGCUUAACAGAGCAGCACGUGACACCACACAAUAUGGACUUCUACAAAAGCAGUCAAACCCAGCCCAAUGCACAGGACCAAGAGAGACCUCAACAUCUACUGAGAUCCACUCAGUGUUGGUUACACCAACACCAGAUCUUGGUGUACAAUUGUCCCCUCUCUUGAUACUCCACACCCAGCCAUGUCUUCCUUUGAAGCCUGGAUUUUGGAAAGGCACCCCCCCAGGCUUCUCUCUCUGCAUCCUUCCACACACAAUAUGGUUGCAGCCUCCUCUCUGCCAGCAGGUCCCAUCUCUGCUCCAAAGUAGGCUGGUCCGCACUGUGUGUCAUUGGGUGGCAGAUGAGACAGCCAAUCAAAGAUGGAGAAAAGACCACCAAAAUCAAGGGUCUGCCUUUGCUGUGAGUGGUUCAGGUCCAACUAGGACUCAUGAAGAGCUGCUUUACACAGAAACACAAAUCACAAUAAAAUCAUCAGCUGAUACAAACCUGAUGGCCAAGUAAAUGUUUGAAUUACAACCCAACAUAGGCUCGGCUUCAGUCUUCCAAGCAUGGGGUGUUCAAAACCCCUAUAUCCAUAUUGAAGUUUGCAGUAAAAGUCAAGGUUAAUUUUUCUGGACACAGGGAGCAAAAGGAGAUAAUUAUUUUUCCAAGCUUUGCUUGCAGCUGAACUGUUAGGUUGAGAAAGAUGUGCUUUACUCAGCCUCUGGCAGUCAUAGCUCUUAGGGAAUCUCUAGGCAAGGGAUUGUUCUGCAGGUCAGCAUCCAGAUACCGGCAUGAAAUACAGGAUUUUUUUU